rnacentral:rRNA from 1 species
CCUACGGGGGGCUGCAGUCGAGAAUCUUUCACAAUGGGGGCAACCCUGAUGGAGCGACGCCGCGUGGAGGAUAAGGUCUUCGGAUUGUAAACUCCUGUCAUGUGAGAACAAGGCUGCCGGGUUAAUAACCUUGCAGAUUGAUGGUACCACAAGAGGAAGAGACGGCUAACUCUGUGCCAGCAGCCGCGGUAAUACAGAGGUCUCAAGCGUUGUUCGGAAUCACUGGGCGUAAAGGGUGCGUAGGUGGCGUGGUAAGUCAGAUGUGAAAGCCCGGGGCUCAACCUCGGAAUUGCAUCCGAUACUGCCGUGCUAGAGUACUGAAGAGGUGACUAGAAUUCUCGGUGUAGCAGUGAAAUGCGUAGAUAUCGAGAGGAAUACCAACGGCGAAGGCAGGUCACUGGGCAGUUACUGACACUGAGGCACGAAAGCCAGGGGAGCAAACGGGAUUAGAUACCCUAGUAGUC